CACGUAGGGUGCGAGCGUUGUCCGGAAUUAUUGGGCGUAAAGAGCUCGUAGGCGGUGUGUCGCGUCGGCCGUGAAAACCUGCAGCUUAACUGUGGGCUUGCGGUCGAUACGGGCAUCACUGGAGUUCGGCAGGGGAGACUGGAAUUCCGGGUGUAGCGGUGGAAUGCGUAGAGAUCCGGAAGAACACCAGUGGCGAAGGCGGUCUGCUGGGCGGUGGGGUCGCAAGAUCCCAAUAGCCGACACUGAGGCGCGACAGCGUGGGGAGCAAACAGG
rnacentral:rRNA from 1 species